UCUCCUCGUCUCCUCUGUCAUCCUCGUUGAUGUUAUAAAAGAUGGUGACGGUCACACCUACUAUUACUUUCUACUUCAUUCAAGCAUUGGAUCUCCAGUCUCAUCUCAAUUAAGAGGGUUCAUGAAAAGAACAGGUUCAAAGUCACGAUCAAUUCCUUUUUCAAAUCCUACUGCAGCUGCACGAGCCCUUCCCGCGUGCCACAAAUGACCUACGAACAAGAAAAAUCCUAGAACAAAAUGAGAGGUAGCCUUAAAGUGCUCGUCAACCACGUCUCUAGUAGUUUUUUGAUUGCUGGUGGUGCUUCCUCAACUGUGGAUGUGGAAACUCCUCUUUCGCAUGAACCGUACACUUUCAUAAAGGGGAGGUGAAUCGCUCUGCCUGGGUGUAGCACUCGGCAUCACGUUCUCCUCGUCUCCUCUGUCAUCCUCGUUGAUGUUAUAAAAGAUGGUGACGGUCACACCUACUAUUACUUUCUACUUCAUUCAAGCAUUGGAUCUCCAGUCUCAUCUCAAUUAAGAGGGUUCAUGAAAAGAACAGGUUCAAAGUCACGAUCAAUUCCUUUUUCAAAUCCUACUGCAGCUGCACGAGCCCUUCCCGCAUACCACAAAUGACCUACGAA
rnacentral:lncRNA from 1 species